CGGGGUGGGGAAAGGAGCUGAAAGAAAGAUGGUUUAGUCGAGGAACCCUCGUAACGGCCCGGACACCCACCGGCCUUGGCAGGGAUGGGUGAAGCGGGGGGCUGUCUGCAGGGUGGUACGGUAGCAAGGGAUGGGGUCCCUCCUCCUUGGGGCAGGUGGACAGCGGUGGCUGGCUGCCAGUGGCACGCUGGCGGUGGUGGCCUGGUUUCAUUAAACCCAGACUUUUUCUGCGCACGCCAGGCUCCCGAGGAGAUGCCGAGAGCGAAGGAAGGAUGGGACCCAGGUCUAGAAACCAAAUAGCUUCUGUGUGUUCGUGUGUGUGGCCGUGGGGGGAAUUUGCCGAGGUCUCUUGUAUCUCAUUUUGAUUUGGGAAUUUAUUUAUUUUUAAACACUCAGUCUCACUGGCACGGUUCCAGCAGUCCCACGACCUUUACUCUCCCUGAUCCAUAAAAAUCACUUAAUUAUUGGGCCGAAAAUCAAGGCUUGGAAACAAAGCCAGCUUAUGGAACCAUCAUUUCUUGAUAUAUUUCCUGAGAGGACAUAUUUCUGGGCACCUUCAGAGCAGUGCGUGCAGCUUGUUGGAUAUGAGAUAUCAAGGCAUUAUUUAUUGAGGAAGUCUUCACACUCCCUCAUCUGUUAUAAUUAACUGAUGACAUUUUUUCUUAGGUUCAAAAUAUGGUGAAAAAGUAUAAUUAGCACGAAGCCGAGGCACUGCAUUAAAAUGUCUGCUAUAGUUAAUGUAGGAUAGUCGUGCUAUUUAUUAUAGGAGGAGCUGGCUCUGACCUCUGUGUUGCCUAACACUUUUUAUUGUAAAGAUUCUUGAACUUUUUUUUCUUUUUGAGCACCUCUGACACUCCCAUUGUUCCCUGCGGGCCCUUGAAAUUCGGCCGGGAGCAGCUCUUCGGCUGGAAAAAUGCCUGUUCUUUGUCCCUUAAAUUCCUUUCAGGUUUAGCUGAAUUAUGAAUUGUUCGGAAUCAUGAUUUCCCUUUGGUUGCCUCUUGGAGGGGGGGAAAAAUAUUAAAAUUUAUUGUUUCCCUGGAAUAAUAAUAACAAACCAUGAGCAGGGUGAAGCCCUGGGCUCCCACCGCUGUGCUGCAGAGCUCUGGACCAGCCAGGGUAGGUGGGGGGACAGCCACGGCCAACUCCACCACCCCCUUCCACCUCUCGCUCAUAUUCUUCCAGCACGGCCCCAUCUCCUGGGAACAAACUCCUCUGGGUUCUGGCGCCGUGAGGAAAAAACGUAAGGGGAUGUGAGUGGGUUGGCCUGGGCACUGCCAGCCCCAGCGGUCCCCCUUCCUCGCCGGCCCCGGGAGAGCAGCCUUCUGCCGCUGCCAGAUAACAUUAGUCCUGUAUUUCAUAGUGGCAGAAAUCUGUGCCGAGGCUCGGGGCUUGAAAUCCCUCUGCCCGUGCAGGACGAAGGCAGGGAUGGGUGCGGGGUGGAGGGAGGGGAAUUUGUUACACUUGCCUACAAUUGUUUUUCUUUUUGCUUAUAUAAACAAUCUAUUAUUUAUUAGUUAUAAAUAAUGCAUUUUUCUGUAUGUUUAGAAUGCACGUGAUUUCUCUAUAUUAAAAAUGUACACGGUUGAAGGCACCAAAGCAAGCACUGGCAAGUCGGGGGGUACCCGAUUUCAGUUUGACCAUGAGACGUUCAUUCAGCCUCUCCCUGCCCGUGCCCUUACGAGGCUGUAAUGACACGGUCACAGCCUAUUUUUAGCUCGCUCCUUCUUUCCCUGACCAGGGUGGCUGCACAGCGAGGUGGAAUUAAGGUUGCACGGACAGCCAUAAAUUGGACACUUCCUAACUUUGAAGUGCUUGACCACGCAAUCUAAACGAGGGCUCUUCAGGGCAGUAUUUCUGCAUGUGGCAUUAACUGCAUCAGUCGGGGAUGGAAAAUACAGGGGUAGAGAAGCCGUAGAGCAGAAAAGACCUAUCAGACUAUUGAAAGCGCUCGUUUGAAUAGAUGGGGGGAGUCAACAGAGCCUACACUUGAUCUGAGCUAAAUGGCCAAGAAGAUGUCCCCAAGCUGAGAGGGGGAAGCCUUUGUUCCUUCAGCACCAGCCUCGAUGUUUUCUGUGCCUUUUUGAUUUUGCCUCGUUCACUCCUAGGGAGGUUUGGGCUCCUGCUCUUGAGGAACCUUCGGCUCGCAUAGUGAAUUUGUGUGCUUGUGAAAAUGAGGGUGUCCCUGGGAACGUGCACGUGUAGGCACGCUCCUGUCACCGCACCAGCAGAUGUGUGCUACCAGCUUGCAGGUACUUGCUGCUUGGCGUCCUUGCCUUGCCUUGCCUUGCCUUGCUCACUCCCUCUUCCCAGUGUCACUAACGGGAGCCAUGGCACAUGUUGGAAGGAAAGGAGAGGCCUUUGUGUAUUACAUAGGAGAUGUAAUCUCUUUUUUUUAACUGCUGGAAGAAUUACUUCAGAGGUGAUUACUUGCAAUGCAGAUUUAUCUUUGCUUGAAAUGGCUUUUUUUUUUUUCUUUGUUUACGGGGGGGUUUCUGCAUUCUAGCUUGCUAUAAGACAUUUGGCUGUCUCUGGUUUCUAGCAGAGUGGACUCUGGUUGAGCAAAUUUGGCCGUCAUGGCCCCUUGCACGUACCUUGUGCUGAUACUGUAGCAUUUUCCCCUGGCCAGCAGUGUAUCUGCCCUGGAUUAUAAUAUACAACCUCGCGUUUUUGCCUUGUGGACUUCUAGAGCCUGAUACCUGCUUGGGGGUGUUCCCACGUUGGCACAGGUAUCUGACUGUCCUAGGUUUGGGUUUCCAUCGUGUGGGUAUGGGCUUGUGUUUCACGAGCGUCUUUUUCCUAACUUUCCCCCUCUCUCCUGCAUCUCAGUUCAGCAAAGGGCCUGUCUAUCUGGAUGCAGGCAAUAAACGUCUGUUCUCACCCUGACUUCUGUUAAUGAGAUAGAGACAGACAUGACUGCGAGUUCGCGGAGUGGGAUGCCUUGGGAAGGGCUGGGACGUCUGCACCUGAGCAAGGAGAGAUCCCAGCGAGCGGAGAAGGCACUUUUCAAGCCUGUGAGUUCCUUCUUGCAGUUGGCUACCACCUGCCCAGACUUGCCAUGUGACGUCUCCGGGUUUCUCCAGGAGGGUCCCGACCUGCUUCUCCAGUGGCCCCAGAGAGGAGAUGGCUUUGGCUCAUGAACACAGAGGGUUUCUGCAUCGCUCCGAAUCACGUCGGUCCAGCCGUGGGGAGGGAGCCAGGGCAGCACAGGGAGCCAGGGGAUCAUCCCACGUCAGUCCUGUACGUUGUCUUCAGUGCCCUAAAUACCCCAGAGCAGGACCACAGUGCUUAAGCAGAGGGAUCUGAGCAAGCCACCGUCUCACCUGGCAAAAUACCGGGUGCGUGAAGGUUGGAGGGAACUUUUAGCACCGGGCUUUGCUCAUGGAGCAGAGCUUGGCCCUUGCUGCUCUUCAUGCCUGGGCGUGCAGGAGUGCCACCGUCCCGACGGCGCCAUGCUCAGAGCCCAGAGGACUGUGAGUCUGUCCGGGGCAGGCAGCCCUGCUGCUGUUUUAUCCCUCCCUCUCUGUUGCUGUAAAAGAAACGUACUGGCUGUAAUUCCCAUUAAAAUCCCCCACCCCAUGCACUGUUGAAAAUAAACUCUCCCUUUUGCAAAA